rnacentral:misc_RNA from 1 species
GUCACAUACAACUGGUCCAGCUCGGAUAUCUGACAGAGAAAAGAAGGCUCCUUUAAAGACAUAAUUACAACAUUAGAUGAUUUUCAAGUUAAUCUGGAGUGCUUGUUUGAAGCAGAAGAGCUACUAUUCGUUGAAGAUAUGUGACAUAUCCGGUUAGUUUUAUGUCCCAAUCAAUCCAUGAAGAUUAUGAUGUGAGAUUAUUAUGUUGCUUUCACUAGCCCCUGCUCAACAUCGGCAAAUCUUUUUUUAGACCACAAUGUAUAAUUG